rnacentral:rRNA from 1 species
UACAGAGGGGGCAAGCGUUAUUCGGAAUUAUUGGGCAUAAAGGGCGCGUAGGCGGCUUUUCAAGUGACGGGUGAAAUCCCUCGGCUUAACCGAGGAACUGCCUGUCAGACUGGAAGGCUUGAGACCGGGAGAGGUGAGUGGAAUUCCCAGUGUAGCGGUGAAAUGCGUAGAUAUUGGGAGGAACACCAGUGGCGAAGGCGGCUCACUGGACCGGAACUGACGCUGAGGCGCGAAAGCGUGGGGAGCAAACAGG